CUCGUGGACGCACGGCAGCUAACGGUUAGCAGGAUCCUGAUCCUGCUAACCGUUAGCUGCCGUGUGAGAACAUAGCCUGUGUCUUGUAUGCUGUGCCGUAGAUUUCUGUGCGUUGUAUGGUAUAUCGGGUACUGUGGCUUGGUUUCACGAACUGGUGUGACGAUGUUACAGGACAGACCCAAAACCAACACGAAGCAGGCAUAAGAUCGUGACCAUCUUAGAUGAUUGGAAGAAGGGGAGAGAGAUUGGAAGCACCGGACCAAUUGCUCUUUCCGAUUGACCACUUGAUGCCGGGAAUCUCAAACUUGGGAGCUAAACUUAUUAAAUUGUUAUUAUGAGGUUUUUUUUAUGUACACCCAUAGUUUUGCUGAGUUCGUGUUAGCCACGUUAGAGCUAGCUAAGUUCGUGUUAGCUACGAACUCGGGAAAGCUCUAUAAAAAGUAUGUAAACAACCCUAAUUAACAAAACUUCCUAUGUUAAUUAUCGUAAUCAGCUUGCUUCUUUAAUCAGAAAUUCUAAACAACAAUACUAUGCCAGGCAGGUUGAGGAAACAAAGCUUAAUUCAAAACAAACUUGGAAUAUUCUUAACGACUAAACCAAUCUCAUCUUUUUAUAAAAUAAACGAUAUACACAUUUCUGAUCCUCAAACUAUUGUUGAUAAUUUUAAUAAAUAUUUUGUUAAAAUUGGUCCUGAAUACUCGCGUAAAAUUCCUCAGCCUGAUAUUACUUUCAAAAGUUUCAUGAAUAAAAUUAAAUCUCCACUUAGAUUUUUCUUUUUUUUCACAUACAAACAGAUGAAAUACUCUCAAUAGUUAGAAAUUUGAAAUCUGGUGUUAGUAGCGGCUUUGAUGAUAUCAAGCCUGAUUUUGAUAAAUCAGUUGGUGAACUAAUAGCACCACCUCUUGUUCACAUUUUUAAUUUAUCCUUAACUACUGGAAUUGUUCCAGAGAAACUGAAAAUUGCCAAGAUAACAAAGUAGGGAGACUGAUACCUUUGGUAAUUAUAGGCCCAUCUCAGUCCUUCCCGUUUUCUCCAAAAUUUUAGAACGCAUUAUUCAUAAAAUACUCUAUAACUAUCUUCUCAACGUGACAUAAUCUAUUGUAUAAAAACCAAUUUGGCUUUCGCCUAAAUAUGUCUACUGAAAUGGCUGUUUUACAGUCAUAUGAUAACAUUAUUUCCGAACUUAAUAAGAGGAAACAUGUUUUUGAAUUUUCUUGGACCUCUCAAUGUCAUUUGAUACCAUAAAUCACAAGAUUCUACUCUGUAAACUGCAUCAUUAUGGUGUGGUAUCGCCUUUGAGUGGUUCAACAGUUACCUUACAGAUAGAAUGCAAUAUGUUUCUUUUAACUACCAUAACUCAUUCUUUUUAAAUACUUGUUAUGGUGUCCCUCAAGGCUCAAUUUUAGGCCCUUUAUUCUUUAUUAUUUACAUAAAUGACUUAGCCUACAUAUGUAAACACUCCAAUAUUAUUUUAUUCGCCGACGACACAAACUUAUUAAUUUCUGAUGAUAAUUUAAACUCUCUAGUUUAUAAUGUUAAUUACGAUCUAUCGAUUAUUUCAUGCUGGUUUAAGGCAAAUAAGCUAUCACUUAAUGUUAAUAAAACCAACUAUAUGAUUUUCAGAAAUAGAUAUAGUAGGCCUAACCGUACUUACAAGGACCUUAAUAUUGCUAAAGAUCGUAAUAAUAUUUUGCGUGUUACUAGCUGCAAAUAUCUUGGUUUAAUAAUGGAUGAAUGUUUAACUUGGAAUCAACAUACAACUUAUAUUGAAAAUUUAGUUUCAAAAUAUUUUGGUAUUCUCUUCAGACUAAAGCCAAUUUUACAUGUUAAUGUUUUAUCAUCAUUAUAUAAGACCUUAGUUCUUUCUCAUAUCCAAUAUUGUAAUUUUAUUUGGGCUGAUCAUAACAAUUGUUGUCUUGAAACUGUUUAUCGCAAGCAAAAGCGCAUAAUGCGUCUAUGUACAAAUUCACAAUUCCAUGAACAUUCACCACCAUUAUUUGCCAGUCUUAAUCAUUUAACUGUGUAUGACAUUCAUAAGUUAUCUAAAGGUGUUUUUAUGUAUAAAUUUAAAAAUAAUUUAUUACAAGUUAAUUUUUUCAAAUUAUUUUGUUAGAGUAAAUUCAGUUCAUGAUUAUGGUACCAGGUCCUCCGAUAUGUACCGUCUACAUACUUUUGUUACCGAUAUGGCCAGAAAUACUAUCCGAAGGCAUGGUCCGAUUUUAUGAAAUAAUAUUGAUGCUUCUAUUCGUAAUUCAGUAUCUGUCAAAAUGUUCAAAAUGAUGUAUAAAAAUUAUUUGUUGUUAACGUAUCAAUAAAGAUCCUUUAUAUAUUUACAUUCA
rnacentral:lncRNA from 1 species